rnacentral:lncRNA from 1 species
UAGCUGACUUCCUGAGCACAGAAUCUGAAGGUAACAAGGAUCUGUUGUGCUGCUGUCAACCUAAGCGAUGUUUACAGAUGCUGACUUGAUAGAACUUGAGAAAAGACAUUUGUCCUGGAAGACAGCAGCCUGCUGGCUCUGACUGCUGGUGGCUGGAUGUCACUGGCUACUUAUUAUUGGGAGUGAUCAGAUGUCACUCUGGCACCUGGAGCCGUCUGAACGCAAGCAGAGGGAGCAAUUUGAGUCCCACUCAACAGUGCUCCACACGUGGCCUGUAAUCUUGUUUCGGCUCACUGGAAAUCAGUAUCCUUUCUGCAGUCCAGUUUAGCGCAGUGAAAUUCAUCAGUGAUGUGGUCGGCAG